rnacentral:rRNA from 1 species
UACGAAGGGGGCUAGCGUUGCUCGGAAUCACUGGGCGUAAGGCGCACGUAGGCGGAUUGCUAAGUCAGGGGUGAAAUCCUGGAGCUCAACUCCAGAACUGCCUUUGAUACUGGCGACCUUGAGUCCGGGAGAGGUGAGUGGAACUGCGAGUGUAGAGGUGGAAUUCGUAGAUAUUAGGAAGAACACCAGUGGCGAAGGCGGCUCACUGGUCCGGUACUGACGCUGAGGUGCGAAAGCGUGGGGAGCAAACAGG